GUCCACGCUGUAAACGAUGUGCACUAGGUAUGGGGUACGAGAUGUACUCCGUGUCGGAGCGAACGCGUUAAGUGCACCGCCUGGGGAGUAUGCUCGCAAGGGUGAAACUCAAAGGAAUUGACGGGCCCCCGCACAAGCGGUGGAGCAUGUGGUUUAAUUCGAUGGUACACGAGGAACCUUACCAGGGUUUGACAUGUGCAGGGAUGCUCGAGAGAUCGGGCACUCCGGUUAUCCGGACCUGCACACAGGUGCUGCAUGGCUGUCGU
rnacentral:rRNA from 1 species